GACGAACGCUGGCGGCGUGCUUAACACAUGCAAGUCGAGCGGUAAGGCCCUUUCGGGGGUACACGAGCGGCGAACGGGUGAGUAACACGUGGGUGACCUGCCCUUAGCUCUGGGAUAAGCCUGGGAAACUGGGUCUAAUACCGGAUAUGACUCCAUGACGCAUGUUGUGGGGUGGAAAGCCUUGUGCGGCUAGGGAUGGGCCCGCGGCCUAUCAGCUUGUUGGUGGGGUGAUGGCCUACCAAGGCGACGACGGGUAGCCGGCCUGAGAGGGCGACCGGCCACACUGGGACUGAGACACGGCCCAGACUCCUACGGGAGGCAGCAGUAAGGAAUAUUGCGCAAUGGGCGAAAGCCUGACGCAGCGACGCCGCGUGGGGA
rnacentral:rRNA from 1 species